UACGGAGGAUGCGAGCGUUAUCCGGAUUUAUUGGGUUUAAAGGGUGCGUAGGCGGACUGUCAAGUCAGCGGUAAAAUUGAGAGGCUCAACCUCUUCCCGCCGUUGAAACUGGUGGUCUUGAGUGGAUGAGAAGUACGCGGAAUGCGUGGUGUAGCGGUGAAAUGCAUUGAUAUCACGCAGAACUCCGAUUGCGAAGGCAGCGUACCGGCAUCCAACUGACGCUGAGGCACGAAAGCGUGGGGAUCAAACAGG
rnacentral:rRNA from 1 species